CCUGACUCUAGGGCCAUUGCAGAUAUGGCUGCUAGGUCACAUGAGCAUUAGUAGGUGGCAGAAAUGACAAAGGCUAUGUCUAUAGAGGCUGUUCUGACCUGUGAACAUCUGAAUGGUCAGUAGCCUAACAGU
ensembl:snoRNA LOC120096822 small nucleolar RNA SNORA17